AGUGAUGUAGUUAAACAAUAACAUUAAACUGCAAAUUUAAUAUUGUACCUAGAGUAUCUUCACUU
rnacentral:tRNA from 1 species